CUGGUCGGUCAGCUGCGGGCAGAUGAAGUGCACGUGGCAGUCGAUGCCGCCCGCGGUGAGGAUCUUGCCGUUGCCCGCGAGGAUCUCCGUGGACGGCCCGAUCACCAGCGCGGGAUCGACACCGUCCAUCACAUCGGGGUUGCCCGCCUUGCCGAUCGCGACGAUCUUGCCGUCGCGCACGCCGACGUCCGCCUUGACCACGCCCCAGUGGUCCAGGAUCACCACACCGGUGAUCACCAGGUCCGGCGCGCCCUGCGCCCGCGUGACCACGCCCUGGCCCAUCGACUCG
rnacentral:sRNA from 1 species